UACGUAGGGGGCUAGCGUUGUCCGGAAUCAUUGGGCGUAAAGCGCGUGUAGGCGGUCCGGUAAGUCCGCUGUGAAAGUCGGGGGCUCAACCCUCGGAUGCCGGUGGAUACUGUCGGGCUAGAGUCCGGAAGAGGAGAGUGGAAUUCCUGGUGUAGCGGUGAAAUGCGCAGAUAUCAGGAAGAACACCGGUGGCGAAGGCGGGUCUCUGGGCCGUAACUGACGCUGAGGAGCGAAAGCGUGGGGAGCGAACAGG
rnacentral:rRNA from 1 species